CGAACGGGGAAGAGCUCAUAGCCGAAUCCGGCGCCGCAAGGCGUCUGAAAUGUGGCGUAUGGGAGGCGGAGUCCUCCGAGUGCGACCGGCGGUACAAGUCCCCAUGAGAGGGGCUGUUACCCGGAGCGGGUGCUAGGCCCGUACCGCCGCCGGUCCGCGCGCGGAGUUGCCGUUCUCCCGGGAGUCGGGUUGCUUGGGAGUGCAGCCCUAAGUGGGUGGUAAACUCCACCUAAAGCUAAAUAAGACCGAGAGACCGAUAGCGAACAAGUACCGUGAGGGAAAGUUGAAAAGCACUUUGAAGAGAGAGUUCAAGAGUACGUGAAACCGUUCAGAGGUAAACGGGUGGGACCUCGAAGUCCGAAGGCGGUGGUGGAUUCAGUCGGUUUCGGGGCUCUAACUCAGGGACGUCACCCCACGACGGGGCCGUCCCCGGGGUAGGGCCUCGGUUCCGGCGCACUUCCACGCCCCGUCCAGUAGGGCGUCGCGACCGGUUGGAAGGCUGUCGUAAGGACGGACGCGAAAGGUGGCCGCAUUUCCCUCGGGAUCUGCGGUGUUACAGGCGGUCCAAUCCCGACGGGUCGUCCGACCGGGGUCGAGUUCAUCUCCGUAGCGUUCCCUUCCCGAAGGAAGCGGCGCCCGGGUCGAGCUUUCGGCGGAACGGCGUGCCACCAUCAAAGGUGAGCGCCUUCCGAAGGAGGUUUCUGUCCCGAAGCGCCGCGGGGAGCCGGAGGUCGCGGCGAGUAGGUCGGUUACCCACCCGACCCGUCUUGAAACACGGACCAAGGAGUCUAGCGCGUGUGCGAGUUCCCGGGACUUGAUUAGGCCCGCGGGCGAAAUGAAAGUGAAGGGCGGCUUCCGCCGUCCGAGUUGGGAUCCGCUCCUUCGGGGGCGGCGCACCAACGGCCCGUCCGACGCCGGUUUCGGCGGGGCGGAGCUAGAGCAUACGCUCUGGGACCCGAAAGAUGGUGAACUAUGCCUGGGCAGGACGAGGCCAGAGGAAACUCUGGUGGAGGUCCGUAGCGAUUCUGACGUGCAAAUCGAU
rnacentral:rRNA from 1 species